rnacentral:rRNA from 1 species
GAGUUUGAUCCUGGCUCAGGACGAACGCUGGCGGCGUGCUUAACACAUGCAAGUCGAGCGGAAAGGCCCUUCGGGGUACUCGAGCGGCGAACGGGUGAGUAACACGUGAGUAACCUGCCCUAGGCUCUGGGAUAACUGUCGGAAACGAUGGCUAAUACCGGAUAUUCAGCUUUCACCGCAUGGUGGUUGUUGGAAAGUUUUCGGCUUGGGAUGGGCUCGCGGCCUAUCAGCUUGUUGGUGGGGUGAUGGCCUACCAAGGCUUCGACGGGUAGCCGGCCUGAGAGGGCGACCGGCCACACUGGGACUGAGACACGGCCCAGACUCCUACGGGAGGCAGCAGUGGGGAAUAUUGCACAAUGGGCGAAAGCCUGAUGCAGCGACGCCGCGUGAGGGAUGACGGCCUCGGUUGUAA